CCUACGGCUGGCAGCAGUGAGGAAUAUUGGUCCAUGGACGAGAGUCUGAACCAGCCAAGUAGCGUGAAGGAUGACUGCCCUAUGGGUUGUACACUUCUUUUAUAUGGGAAUAAAACGUUCCACGUGUGGGAUUUUGUCUGUACCCUAUUAAUAAGGAUCGGCUAACUCCGUGCCAUCAGCCGCGGUAAUACGGAGGAUCCGAGCGUUAUCCGGAUUUAUUGGGUUUAAAGGGAGCGUAGGUGGAUUGUUAGGUCAGUUGUGAAAGUUUGCGGCUCAACCGUAAAAUUGCAGUUGAAACUGGCAGUCGUGAGUACAGUAGAGGUGGGCGGAAUUCGUGGUGUAGCGGUGAAAUGCUUAGAUAGCACGAAGAACUCCGAUUGCGAAGGCAGUUCACUGGACUGCAACUGACACUGAGGCUCGAAAGUGUGGGUAUCAAACAGGAUUAGAUACCCCUGUAGUC
rnacentral:rRNA from 1 species